AUCAUUUAUUGCCUCUAUAAAAGUUUAAAUAAAAACCCUACAAAAAUCACAUUACAGUGAUGUGCUUUUAAGGUGGUAAUAUAUUUCAGAGGUAGUAUCAGUAAAAUGGGAUGCAGGAUCACUUAAAGGAAUUACUUAACAAGUUAAUACAAAAUAAAAUUUCAAUUCAGAGCAAUAUAUACUCAGUAUAAACUUUAACGGAGCAAUCAAUUGUAUUUUCAUGAAAAUAUUAUUUUAUUCUUUUUCCCUCUUAGCAAAUCUGUUCUUAAUAAUGGUUUGUUUGGGGCGAUAUGCUAACUGUAGUCUCCCAAAUUAUCAGGAUCCUCCCUUAUAUCAUCACAGAGCAUAGCUUGAUAGGAUGAGUAUGAUAGUGUUGUCUGCCAAGGAUAACACCAACUUCAAAGAUAAACAUUAAUUCAUCUUUUAGACACUAUAGCACUGAUGGUUCCCUUAAAAAGGUAAUUUGACAGAAUAUGUCACUUUGAGGACCUGAAUGAAAAUCUAAUAUAUUUUUUAAAAUAGACAAUAUUCCUUGUAUACCAUUACUAUAAUGUGGGAGAAGGGCAGAAUUUAAAUUUUCUCAGAAUUUCUCCUAGAAAAUAAUAAUGAACCAUCAGGCUAAGGGGGGGGAAUUAUUCCUUGGAAAUGGGCUGACUGUCCCCUCCUCCAAAACAUAAAGCAAUAAAGUAUAAUUUAGAGCCUAGAAUUCUUUUAAAUACACCACUUACGUUUUCUCCUACAAACUUAAAAUGGCUGAAUAUGGAAGUGUCUUAAAAUAGAUGCUGCUUCCUUUGGGGAAAUGGCCUCUCCAACAUUUCUUGAAGUCUGGUAGUAUAGAGAGCACAAGAUGUGAUUGGUUUGUAGCUUUUUCUUCUUCAACAAUAACAUUUUAUCAUUAUUACAAUGGUAGCAUAGAAGUCCUAAUGUGGAUACCUGACCUUAUAACAAAAUAUCCCAUUUCCAUGAAAAGAUUAAUUUUCUUUUUCUUAAACGUUUAUUCACUAUAGAGAGAGAAAGAGACAGCAAGUGGGAGAGGGGCAAAGGGAGAAGCAGACCUCUGCUGAGCAGGAAGCCCAAUGCUGGGCUCCAUCCCAGGACCCUAAGAUCAUGACCUGAGCCAAAGGCAGUUGCUUAACCAACUGAGCCACCCAGGUGCCCUCCAAAAAGACCAAUUUUCUUUUUAACAUUUUCCUUGCAUGUGCUAAGUUUCCUAUUUUCCAGGAUAACUGCAGUUCUCAUUUUCUUGUGACUAACAUUAGCUUGGGUGGAAUGAGGAGGGUACCUUCAGGUUAUUUUUAAUACACAUUUUAAGGUAAGUGCCCUUAGAUAAACAUUUGUUACUUA
rnacentral:lncRNA from 1 species